UCCAGUGGCCGCAGGAGCCUGGCGUUAAGGAUUCUUUUCCCUCCUAACAGCUUCCUGCGUUAGCAGCCGUGAGGUGGUCUCCAAGUUGGAGCCAGGAAUAAAGCUGUGGUGGUGGAAGAAGCCCUCAGCCUGAGCCUCUCAGGUCCGUCAGCGCCUUCUAAGUCGGAGGCUGGGACUAGGAGGAGUCAGCGGGUGUGCUGCGCGCUUCUCCCGGUUCCUCCUGCGCUCCCGGUCUUGAGGAGAGUUAGUUCAGGCAUCUGCAGUCUCCAUGAUGCCCACAACAGCCAGAGCCAGACCAGGGUGAGGCCUAGAUCCUGAAACUCCAUUCCUGUCUCUCUCAUGCACGGAAGAGACUCAGGCAGAGUUACAGAGAGGCAGAGGCAGAGAGAGAGAAGUCUUCCAUCCACUGGUUCACUCCCAAAAUGGCUGUGGUGGCCAGAGCUGGGCUGAUCUGAAGCCAGGAGCCAGGAGCUUCUUCCAGAAUAAGCCUAAUGACUGAAAGGAUAUACUGGAUUUGGAGACUCGACCAGGACAGCACUGUGAUCAUCUCGGAUUGUGAGGCAGCUACAUGUAGCCUGUGAGCAGUGCAUGAUGAGAAAGAUGUGGAGGCACCCUGUGGUGAGCUCCUUGUAUGUAUGUCAGUGUCUGCUACUUUAGAUCCACUCAUGUGUGAGCUCUGCUGAAAGGGAAGUACUCUGUAGUCAACUGGAACUCAUUCAGCCAAAACCUUGAUUUUGCAUCCCUACUACCUAUUGACUGGACUUCCAUGUGCAUAUUUUGAGCUUAAUUAUACCUCUAUUAUCUCAUUUCAGAUAGUGAAAACUAGAUAAAGAGAGUAUAGAUUAUUAUCAAUGAUCAUUGUUACUAAGCAGCCAAAUAUGAUUUAAACUAAGAUCUGAGGCAGGUGUUUGGCCUGGUGGUUAAGAUGGUACCUGGGACACCUAAAUCCCAUGCUAGAGUGUCUAAGUUUGCAUCUUACUUCACUCCAAAUUCCAGCUUUCUGCUGAUGCACAGCUGUCAUUGAUUUCUCACCACCCCAUUUGGAGACCUGAAUUGAGUUCAUGGCUCUGAGAUACAGCCUGGUCCAUCCCUGGCCAUUAUAGUCAUUUGAAGAGUGAACCACCCAAUGGGAUUCCCUCCCUUGCUCUAUCUGAAGCUCUCUGU